UACGGAGGGUGCGAGCGUUGUCCGGAAUCAUUGGGCGUAAAGGGCGCGUAGGUGGCCCGGUCAGUCUUUGGUGAAAGCGCGGGGCUCAACCCUGCGUCGGCCAGGGAUACUGCCGCGGCUCGAGCACUGUAGAGGCAGGCGGAAUUCCGGGUGUAGCGGUGAAAUGCGCAGAUAUCAGGAGGAACACCGGUGGCGAAGGCGGAUCUCUGGGCCGAUACUGACGCUGAGGAGCGAAAGCGUGGGGAGCGAACAGG
rnacentral:rRNA from 1 species